rnacentral:lncRNA from 1 species
GUUGCUGGUGCUUCAGCUUGAAGUGUUGGGACAGGGGAGCUGUUAUAUUUCAAAAAUCUAACAGCAUAUGCCUGAAUAGCAAACUCAUUGUUCUUUCCACGGUGCUCCUGCUGCUCCUUAUGGAUAUCCUGCUCCAGAACAUGUUGCACAUGAAGAGAAGAUAGAAAGAAAAAUGUAGCAUCAAUAUGAUGGAAGUAAUUGGAAGUUUUCGUAAGAGAAAGGAAAACCUUUUUAAUAUUAAAAAAGAUCAAAUUUUAUAUAUUAGUAUUAAAUAUAUUUUACAAUUAAAACUAACAGUUAAUGAUUAAAAAUAAGAAAAGGCCAAGCCUGGGCUGAAAAGUUCUUGCCCAAGGCUCAGAUUUUAUAGUAGACCUAAGUUAUUGUUUUUGAAUUGUAACCAUCCAAGACUAAUCCAUAUAUAUACCUAAGUUCUCAAUUACAUCUUCUCUUCCUCCCCAGUUCAAGUAAAAUUACCUCCAUACCAUAUAUCUAAGAACAGAACUUAUAAGCAGAUAACCAACAUGAUUAACAUACAAAACCAGUUAUUAAAAGGAAUAUAGAAAAAGCUAGCACCAUGAUUAAGUAAGAAAUUCAAACAUAAAAAAUUAUCAUGACAGUCAUCACAAGAGGCAUGCAUAAAUUACUUGGAAAUAAAGAUAAAAAGGUCCAACAAUAUAACCAAUACCAUAUCCAGUUCUGCAUUCUUGUUCUCAGUAACUUCAUUGGCCCUUGACCCCACCAAAUCAUGACCACAGUUGUUUGGACCAAGACUUCUAUCCUUACUAUUUCGAAGCAAUUCUGCUGAAUGCCAAAACUCCAUGACAGCAUUA